CAUAGAGGAUUAAGAAGGCAGAGCCUGUUGAGCAGGGCUCUGCUGAUACCAUCCUCUUAGAGAAAUGGGGUGGAGAGAGGGGUCCCACUUGCAGAGAUGCAAAGACCUCACUGUUCUAUCCAACAAAA
rnacentral:snoRNA from 11 species